UAUAAACUUCCUCCCUCUCCUGUAUAAACCCCCAAGCUACAAACAAAGAAGUGUUGCUUCAAGAAAACAGGCACAGCACAUAUUUCUCUGAACUGGUGAUGACUCAACACUGGUUGAGAAGAAGGCAGAGCUGUGAUGACACCUCUGACACACAGUGUUGAUCAUCUUCUCUACUGGCUGAACUAAAAGAGGAAUCUCCAAACCUGGAAAACUCCAAGACCACACAGUUGCCAAGGAGGGCUAGAAAAGAACUUGCUGCUCCAACAGAGAAUACGUAUCUGGACUUCCUGAGCAAAAACAAGCUCAGGAGCAUUGCCAGGAUCUGAAUGCAGCUCAUUCUUGAUGAAUCCAGGGAGGGGUGGUCUGGAACCUAUCAGAUUAAAUUGGAUGAAGCUCUAGGAAAGACCAGACUAAGUCAAGGAGAAGCAUGAUGUGGAAGGGGAGAACCAGGACAGAGUGUUCCUUAACAUGGAAUAUGCCUGAUUCAAGCCGGAAACUUGGCAGACCUGACCAAGAAAACACAGGAUCAGACUGCCCAACAUCUGCUCAAAAUUACCUGUGGUCCAGCAAUCAAGAGGUGCUAAUGUCCAGCCCCACUUUUACUGCUGUUCAGCACGAAACCAGCCCAAACCCUCUAAAGGGCACCAUUGAUGCCAUGUCUUCCCACCAAGGCAAGAACAAGUCACUAAUUGGAUCACCUGCCUGGAGGUCUGAUGAAUGCACUGAUAUUUUAGGCACUUCAGCCUGAAGGAGGAAUUUAAGGAAAGAAAAAAAGCAUUUGAAGUGUGAUGUGGCAACUACUGGGUGUCAGGAAAAAAGGGAAAAGAAGGAAUAGGUACUAUUAACAGUGAAAUAAAUCAGGUGGGCUAUUACAGAACAGUUCAAAUGGUCAGACAAAAAGGCUGAUUAGGUGGUCUCUUAGAAUGAGCCACUAUGUAGUUUUGAUCAUUACCAGCCACUUCCUUUCACAGCAGAUAAUUUUUACUUCUGAGACAUGACUAGAAUACUUUGUGACAAAUUUAUCUGCAGUCCAGGCUUCAAUUUCAAUCUUAAAGAGCUCUGUUUUCAAAAAUAGCAUGUAAUUUCACAAAGUGCUUGGACACAAGCAAGUCAGCUGGUAAGAUGGCUACAGCUUGAAACUGCUGCCUGCAACUGACUCAAAUACUUUAUAUUGCUAGAUAGAGAAAGCCUCGCAAGAAACCGAAGGUCAUUUUACUACUGGAUGGCUGUCCUGCACAAGAUAACAAGGCAGACCACACCUCUUUUGAAGCCAUAGAAGUGAUGGGCCAAAGGAAAGGUAGAGAAUAGUUUCACCAUUAUGCCUUAAAAUGCGGUCUGAGGUGAUUUCUUCAUGCUGACUGUGAGUGAUUUCUUUGUUCUCACACAUUUACAAAAGCAUAAACACAUAUCAGAAAACUGAAGCAAGACACAGCCAUUAAGGAAAUCCCUUGGAUAUAGGAUUAAAAGAAUGCUUAUUGAAAAUACUGUAAGCAUUUGUCAUUAGAUCAAUAUUUCUGCUGGAGGAAAGAAGAGGCUAGGAGAAAGUGCGUGUUGCACUUAGUGCUGACAGAGAGAGUAGCAACUGCCCCUCCUAAGAGCAAUCUAUUAGUCCAUUUUCUAUAAAUCUGUUGGGCAACUUGGAUCAAUAGUUUCUUCUGGAACACCUGAGGGUUAUUAGACCUCUUUUCCAUCACAUACUUUUUAUACUGGCUUAGUCUAUUUAGGCUAAGUGUGUCAGUUUGCAUAUCUAUCCUUAGAACUAAUCUGAAAUAAUGAUGCAAUAACAGUUUUAAGGAUAGACCUUUUUUUGUCAUAUAAAUCUUCUAGGUUUUAAAUUAUACAGUGGCCCAGUGGCUCUUUAGAGGUCUUGCACUCACUGACUGAUAAGGUUUAGGUCCCUGAGGUCCAAAAUUAACUGCACUGUACCAUGCAUUAUGGCUGCAUCGCAGAGCAAUUUUAUCAGGAGUAGGAGACACAGCAGAAUUACGCAAGUCUGUAGUGUUAUCAAUAGGAAGUGAUGACUCACCCAGCUAGUGCUUUCAAAGUGGCAAUAUCCUAUACACUGAAAGUAUGUUUUGAGGGCGAUAAGUGACCCCAUUGCCAGGAAUAGGUGAAGGAGUGUCGGUGGCAAGAAAAGGGAAAAAUAAGUCUUUACAUAUAGCAUCCAGUAUUUCUGAUACCUGCAGAGAAAGCCUUACUUGUGAAGUGUGACCAUUAAAUUGCAUAGAGCUUUGCAAGCAUUAUCAGAGUGAUUUUUGAACUGAGAUGUCAUGCUUAUAAAACAAGUUUGAGUCAGUUUCCACAGAGCUCACUGACAAUAGUCUGAUCAUAUAAACACAGGCUGAUACAAGACCUGGGACAUGUUCAGAGUGUAGUGAUUAAAGAACAGCCUGAUUUAAAUGAGCAAUGAAUUAUAUUUAGAACAAUAGGUGAAAGAUGCUCAUGGAAGUUAAAAGGAAGAAUUCUCAGUGCUCCAAAUGAAUCCUAAAGAGGUAUGACAUGAUCUGGUCAGGUGCAAGCCAUUCUAUUCUGCCAUUCAAAGGUUUUGAAGACUUUAUAUGGAGCUCCAGAGACAGCAUUUGAUAAGCUUAGCUAUCCCUAUGGCACCCUUCCAAAUCUGUGUGAGGCCACGGAAAUUGAAGUUGCUCUCAGCUUUCUAUAGAGUAUAUUGCAUGCUAAGUAGAGCAAAGCAAAGUAGGUUUCUGCUAUGUGUCUAGACUUGGAUGGUAAAUGACUUUUUCAGAGGUGCAUUGAUUAGAAAAAUGACUGCUUGCCCUUGAGUCACUGCCAACCUCAGACUGACUUGAUAUCACUGAUGAAUACUGAUGCAAGAGGGAUGAAUAAACUUCUGCAGUAACAUUAGGUAUACACUCUCACUAAGAACUUUUUG